ACCCUGCUGCUCAACUGCUAUACCAAGCUCAAGGACAGUUCGAAGCUAGAGGAGUUCAUCAAGGUGCAGGGUGGUGGUGGUGGUGGUGGUAGAUUCCCCGAGGGCCCCACUGAGCGGGAGGUGGCUUUACCAGGGUUUGCCCCUUUUUCAGCAGAUGCAGGGAGAAGAAAGGGCUCACCUUAUUUGGGGACCAGGACCCUCUGGUCUAUAAACUGGGAAGAGGAAUAGCCUUUCCUGCUAGUUCUCUCCCGUCUCCCUCUUGUUUUUUGAUGCUUGAACUUUUGAGGGUAUGUAAGCUCAGGGAAUUAACAGUGGUGGGCCCCUGGGUCCCCAGAGGUGUCCCUGUAAUAGUAGGGGAAGAGGAAGACUUUAGCUCUUAAAACCUUACUGAGAAGUAGGAGAACCUAGUGUUUUAAAACCAUGGACUUUCUUUAAUUUUUUUUUUUUGUCUCCAACCCUCCCGGCCUCAACUUUAUUGUUAUCUUAAGAAUCUGUCAGGGGGCACCUGGCUGGCUCAGUUGGUAGAACAUGCAAAUCUAGAUCUCCAGGUCGUGAGUUCAAGCCCCACAUUGGGCCUAGAGUUUGUGUUAAAAAAAAAAAAAAAAAAAAGAAUCUGGUCUCAGAUGCAGGUUUCCUCUCCCUUCCCCAACCACAACCUUUCUGUGAAUGAUUUUGUCUGACGUCUCCCUGGCAGACCAAGAGUGAGAGCGAAGUCCACUUUGAUGUGGAGACAGCCAUCAAGGUCCUCCGGCAGGCUGGCUACUACUCCCAUGCCCUCUACUUGGCUGAGAACCAUGCACAUCAUGAGUGGUACUUAAAGAUUCAGCUAGAGGACAUUAAAGUAAGUGAGACUCUUGACCCAGACAGAGACCUGUUCUUUUUCCAGGACAUCCCCGGAAUGAUGAAAGUACUUCCUGGUGGGAAGGCAGGAGCAUGCGCUUACUCUGCCCUUACCUCUCCACAGAAUUAUCAGGAAGCCCUUCGGUACAUCGGCAAGCUGCCUUUUGAGCAGGCAGAGAGCAACAUGAAACGCUAUGGCAAGAUCCUCAUGCACCACAUACCAGAGCAGACGACCCAGUUGCUGAAGGGACUGUGUACCGACUAUCAGCCUAGCCUCGAAGGCCGAGGUGACAGGGAGGCUCCAGGCUGCAGGGUGAGACGUCAAGGAGAAUGGCUUUUGGACAACAGGGAUCACUUCCGGGGCCUCAUGGAUACCACACCCACUCACUCGGCCUCCUCUCUCCUCCCUUGCCAUCCUAGGCCAACUCAGAGGAGUUCAUCCCCAUCUUUGCCAACAACCCUCGAGAGUUGAAAGCUUUCCUAGAACACAUGAGUGAAGUACAGCCUGACUCCCCGCAGGGCAUCUAUGACACACUCCUCGAGCUGCGGCUACAGAACUGGGCCCAUGAGAAAGAUC
rnacentral:lncRNA from 1 species